CAGCCGUUGUUGUGCUGGUUGUGGCUGCCGUCACAGUAAGGGAACUGUUGAAGAGAAACAUCUCCUCAGAAACAAGUCAAUAAUCCAAAUAAUAAACUCAUGUUCUCUUGGUACCACCGCAUAUCUGGUGUUAUGCUUCUCACCUUGGAGCUUCGCCAGCAGCGGCAGAACACCGCCUUGUUGCCCAGGUCCUCAAUGUCCACCGAGUCCACCACCUUGGACUCACCCUUACGGAUGGAUGGGUUCACAGGUGUGCCAAACUAGAAGAGAGGCAAAAGUUAGGAUAAGUCCUUAAUGAAAUGCAUGUAUAUUAAAGUAUGGAGGCAACAAACUAUUAGUACUUAUAAUGUUUCUUGCAGUUCCCCAUUUGCUUGUCAAAUGAUACAAUCAUUAUUUUCUUUCUGAACUAUAAAAAUAACUUAUUAUAUUUUGGCUUUCCAAGUUGACAAAGCUGGAAACUUGCAUUUAACAAAUUUAAUAACAAAACUAAUGGCUACUUAUAAAGAAUUUCCUUAGUACAGCUUGUAACUAGAAGUGCUUUAAUACUGUCUGAACAAAAGCUCUUCCUUUUCAUAGUAGUUACAAAGAACAAAUUAUUCACAGAGUCAUCCUCAUACUGACUAACCUGCUUGUCGAAGAGAAUCUUGGCACCAAAGCCCACAGCCACACAGGUGACGCCAAGUGGCAGGAGGGCGGCCCAGUCUGAUGCUGGAAGUGGAAUGAAAUAUAAGCAAGGAUUGAUAAGGCAUGAAGAUAGUGGAAUGUUCCACGAGCCACACUGCUGUCCAACACAAGCAAUGACCUUCAGACGUGACCAGCUCGCCUUUCUUAAUAACCACAGCCUGCAACACAAUCUUUAACACAAUACCACACUGCCACACCAGCUUCAUAGAUCCCUGCGGCGCUUCCAAUCUACCUGCCCACAUUGCAUAUAGUGCUCGGCAAAUGUUAAAUGGUGCCUGUUAUCUACGAGGCACUGACCAGACGCGUACUUGAGACUAAGUAGCGAGUGUCAGUCUUUACUAAUUGGUAUUCAGCCUCGUGUAAAAAUUAAUCCGCCCUUCCUAAGAUGUCGGGAGCCGCUACACCAAAUAUAGCCCUCUGAUGCAAUAAUUAACAGUAAUAUUCACUGUAACAUCACGCAUAACAGACCACAAGUAUCUCGUAUCAUAAUGGCUAUGGUUGAAUAUCAUAAUUACCCUUCAGAUUCUUGUAAAACUCCAUGGUGAAGAGAGAGGGGCAAAGAAUGCACGGACAGCUGAUACGUCUCGGGAAGCUGCUGGAGCCGGGAUCUCUUGCCAGCCAAUGUGAAAGGCGCUUGUGGUGAGGCAGGGUUGUGAUUGGAGCACCACACCACUGCCAGCAGAGACCAUGAUGCAACCUUUACCGCGGGAUAUAUGAAUGGUUUCUCAAGAUCAAUACGUUGUCUUCUUUACCUCCAUCUACUAUACAACUGCGAUGAUGAAGACACUCACUCCACUUGUACUUGAAGACAGCCAGGAUUGACAGAGCUGGGUGCUCUUCAGCAGUGAUGAUAGAUGGGCCAACUAGAGUAACGAGCUGGGUGGAGCACCCGCUGAAGAGAGCAGUGAUGAUGGACGGGUCAACUCGGAGACCAGGAAUGACAGGCAGCAGAGUCCAUCCUUACUCAUCUCCAACUCUUGUGACGACAAAAGUUUCAAUCAGUCAAGAUUCCAAAUGGCUGACAGGCACCAAGCAGGGUUCACUGUCCACUUCAUCUCUCUCUUACACCACUUCUCAAAGCUACAAUACCUGCCAGCUCGCGAAGGGGUUGUUGGGCUGCGGUGGUGGCCUAAUCUUUGUUGUAUCAGGGAAGCAGGCAGUCAGUCCUUCACUCUCCUGCAUCAAUCCUGCAAGCAAAGAGUUCUUAGGGAUAAACUCUGGUAAACCCACCACCAACAGAAUCUAUACAUAAUGAAUAAAGUAGUAUUAAAAGUA
rnacentral:lncRNA from 1 species